AAAACUUAAAACCCUAAACGCAACCUAAGAGUCUCUACGCAAAGGAGGAAACGGAAAAGUUGUGGCCUCGCCGCCCUUGGGUUUUGUCGAGAUACUUGAUUCGGUUUUUCAUAGCACACUAAGUUCCAACCCGAGUUGAGAAACAUAGAGAAAGGCUAGACGAAGGAUCGCAAGACUUGUUUUUGAUUUCGGUUCCGACUAGGUUUUUAUAAAUCGAAGUGUUCCUUAAAGUGUGGAUCUCAUUGCUAAAGACUUGAGGUUAGGCGCUAAUGGAGCUAGUAGAUUUGCGAGAGGUGGGGUAGCUAUUGAUGUUAAAUAAAGAUGACUUUUAGUUACCCAUUUGUUAGUAGAUUUAAGAAGACUUCUUUAUCAUAUAUGCCAGUUGGCGUUUCAUAUUGUUGAUUGUGGAUUUUCUUUUAUUAUUGUGAUGAUACGAUGAUAGUAACACCAUUUAAAG